GAGGGUAUAUCUCAGUGGUAGAGCACAUGCUUAGCAUGCACGAGGUCCUGGGUUCAAUUCCCAGUACCUCCA
rnacentral:tRNA from 1 species